rnacentral:ncRNA from 1 species
UAUCGAGCGAUGACUAGGAGAGUAGGUAAGGAGUAGGAUGGUUGAGCGAGCCAGGGUUGGUGAAAGCCUGGUCCAUCAUCCUUGCUGAAGAUCACCUAGGAGCUGCCCCCUGAACGAAGAAGAACAGUUUAUGUAGGGUGGGCCGAACUCAUUCACGUUACGAAUGCAUGAGCGAGUCUGAAGCAACGGUGGUUGUAUUCAGAUGUUAGUAGGGUGGUACCGCGGGUAACUUCUCGUCCCUAAG